UAGCAAAUGGGGUUUGUCGCCGGUCGGCCCAGCCGACAGGAGGAAAGUCCGAGCACCGCAGAGCAUCGUGCUUUCUAACGGAAAGAUGUUCGUAAGGGCGUGGCAGAGUGUAACAGAAAAUAACCGCCUUCCCGCAAGGGACGGUAAGGGUGAAAAGGUGGGGUAAGAGCCCACCGCGGAGGUGGCGACACUCUCUGGCUGUACAUCCCACGAGGUGCAAGACCAAGUAUAUCGACGUAUGUAGGGCUGCUCGUCCGAUGUCGAGGGGUAGGUUGCUGGAGGUUGCAGGCAACUGCAAUCGUAGAUAAAUGACAAACACCGCACUUCGGUGCGGCACAGAACUCGGCUUAUACCGUAUGCUACACA
rnacentral:RNase_P_RNA from 1 species